UCGGGAAUUUUGGGCAAUGGGCGAAAGCCUGACCCAGCAAUGCCGCGUGAAGGAUGAAGUAUUUCGGUAUGUAAACUUCGAAAGAAUAGGAAGAAUAAAUGACGGUACUAUUUAUAAGGUCCGGCUAACUACGUGCCAGCAGCCGCGGUAAUACGUAGGGACCAAGCGUUGUUCGGAUUUACUGGGCGUAAAGGGCGCGUAGGCGGCUCUGUAAGUCACUUGUGAAAUCUCUGAGCUUAACUCAGAACGGCCAAGUGAUACUGCAGAGCUAGAGUGUAGAAGGGGCAAUCGGAAUUCUUGGUGUAGCGGUGAAAUGCGUAGAUAUCAAGAGGAACACCUGAGGUGAAGACGGGUUGCUGGUCUAACACUGACGCUGAGGCGCGAAAGCCAGGGGAGCAAACGGGAUUAGAUACCCCCGUAGUCCCUGAGCGGGCUGGCAAGGCGCAU
rnacentral:rRNA from 1 species